rnacentral:rRNA from 1 species
UACGUAGGGUGCAAGCGUUAAUCGGAUUUACUGGGCGUAAAGCGUGCGCAGGCGGUGAUGUAAGACAGAUGUGAAAUCCCCGGGCUCAACCUGGGAACUGCAUUUGUGACUGCAUCGCUGGAGUGCGGCAGAGGGGGAUGGAAUUCCGCGUGUAGCAGUGAAAUGCGUAGAUAUGCGGAGGAACACCGAUGGCGAAGGCAAUCCCCUGGGCCUGCACUGACGCUCAUGCACGAAAGCGUGGGGAGCAAACAGG